rnacentral:rRNA from 1 species
UACGAAGGGUGCAAGCGUUACUCGGAAUUACUGGGCGUAAAGCGUGCGUAGGCGGUUUGUUAAGUCUGUCGUGAAAGCCCCGGGCUCAACCUGGGAAUGGCGAUGGAUACUGGCGAGCUAGAGUACGGUAGAGGAGAGUGGAAUUCCCGGUGUAGCAGUGAAAUGCGUAGAGAUCGGGAGGAACAUCAGUUGCGAAGGCGGCUCUCUGGACCAGUACUGACGCUGAGGCACGAAAGCUAGGGGAGCAAACAGG